GAUGAAGAACGUAGUGAAAUGCGAUAAGUAAUGUGAAUUGCAGAAUUCAGUGAAUCAUCGAAUCUUUGAACGCACAUUGCGCCCGCCAGUAUUCUGGCGGGCAUGCCUGUUCGAGCGUCAUUACAACCCUCAGGCUCCCGGGCCUGGCGUUGGGGAUCGGCGGAGCCCCCCGUGGGCACACGCCGUCCCCCAAAUGCAGUGGCGGUCCCGCCGCAGCUUCCAUCGCGUAGUAGCUAACACCUCGCGACUGGAGAGCGGCGCGGCCACGCCGUAAAACACCCAACUCUUCUGAAGUUGACCUCGAAUCAGGUAGGAAUACCCGCUGAACUUAAGCAUAUCAAUAAGCGGAGGA
rnacentral:misc_RNA from 1 species